rnacentral:rRNA from 1 species
UACGAAGGGGGCUAGCGUUGCUCGGAUUUACUGGGCGUAAAGGGCGCGUAGGCGGACAGUUUAGUCAGAGGUGAAAGCCCAGGGCUCAACCUUGGAAUUGCCUUUGAUACUGGCUGUCUUGAGUACGGGAGAGGUGAGUGGAACUCCGAGUGUAGAGGUGAAAUUCGUAGAUAUUCGGAAGAACACCAGUGGCGAAGGCGGCCUUCUGGACAGUGACUGACGCUGAGACGCGAAAGCGUGGGGAGCAAACAGGG